rnacentral:misc_RNA from 1 species
CGACCAUCAAGCCUUAAUUGCUUGUGUUGGAGCACUAUAAGCGAAAGCUGUAGGCUCUGAAAUAUAGCGGCGGACCUGUUGCGAUCCCGAACGUAGUAAAUAUCAACUCGUUUAGGGUAUCCAAUUGGUAACUUCUAGCCGUUAAACCCCCCAAUUUUACAU